CCUACGGGUGGCAGCAGUGGGGGAUAUUGCACAAUGGAGGAAACUCUGAUGCAGCGACGCCGCGUGAGGGAAGACGGUCUUCGGAUUGUAAACCUCUGUCUUCGGGGAAGAAAAUGACGGUACCCAAUGAGGAAGCUCCUGCUAACUACGUGCCAGCAGCCGCGGUCAUACGUCGGGCGCGGGCGUUGUCUGGAAUUACUGGGUGUAAAGGGAGCGUAGGCGGGCGAGAAAGUUGAAUGUUAAAUCUACCGGCUAAAGUGGUAGCUGCGUUCAAAACUUCUUGUCUUGAGUGAAGUAGAGGCAGGCGGAAUUCCAAGUGUAGGGGUGAAAUGCGUAGAGAUCUGGAGGAACAUCAGUGGCGAAGGCGACUAUCUGGCACAUAACUGACGCUGAGGAGCGAAAGCGUGGGUAGCAAACAGGAUUAGAUACCCGAGUAGUC
rnacentral:rRNA from 1 species